AUUUGGCUACAAAGGGACGGACCGGCCAAUGAGGAAACGACAGUGAGAAUGGGGGGAAGAGACUAUACAAGCGAGAGGCGGUUGAGAAAGGAGAUGGACCAAGACAGACAGCAGGAGUUGGGGGUGAGAAGAGACCACAGAACAAGGGGCUGAGUUGCAGGAAAGUAGGCAAAGGUGACCAGCCGAUUAUUUCAUCACAGGAGAUGUUGAAAUUCAAGAAGUUCAAGCUUUAUAACCAUUAAAAGAGAAAUUGUCAACAUCCCAUGUCAAAAUAUACAAAGUAAACAUCCUUAAAUCAAA